rnacentral:lncRNA from 1 species
CACACACACACACACACACACACAUCUCUCCAUUCUGGUUGUUUUCUAACGUUCGAUCCAACUUGGUAUUUUAUUAGCAGCUGAUACUCCUGGGGUCCACAUGAAGCAGGACAGAACAUUCCUUUGACAAGAACGGCUCAAAGACAAAACUACUAACAUUUUAAAAUAAGGACAAUAUAACUAGGAGGUUCUGUACUGACUAAAUACUGAGAAAAAACCCAUAGAGACCUAAUAUUCUAGGACUGUGUUUAUCGUGUACUAAUUAAUAUUCUAGUACUAUGUUUAUCGUGUACUAAUUAAUAUUCUAGGACUACGUUUAUCGUGUACUAAUUAAUAUUCUAGUACUAUGUUUAUCGUGUACUAAUUAAUAUUCUAGGACUACGUUUAUCGUGUACUAAUUAAUAUUCUAGUACUAUGUUUAUUGUGUACUAAUUAAUAUUCUAGUACUAUGUUUAUUGUGUACUAAUUAAUAUUCUAGGACUACGUUUAUUGUGUACUAAUUAAUAUUCUAGUACUAUGUUUAUUGUGUACUAAUUAAUAUUCUAGGACUACGUUUAUUGUGUACUAAUUCAUAUUCUAGUACUAUGUUUAUUGUGUACUAAUUAAUAGUCUGAGAAGUAGCUGGUGAAACAAGCGAGGCAGUCAUUUGAGAAACCAAGGCUGUUAAGUCUGCCGAUAAGAAUGACAGACAUACCGCUCAGGAAGGAGAUGCGUCCAGAUUGUCUAGCCCGGCUGAUUUGUAGGGGUCCAGGUUGUCUAGUCCAGCUGAUUUGUAGGGGUCCAGGUUGUCUAGUCCAGCUGAUUUGUAGGGGUCCAGGUUGUCUAGUCCAGCUGAUUUGUAGGGGUCCAGGUUGUCUAGUCCAGCUGAUUUGUAGGGGUCCAGGUUGUCUAGUCCAGCUGAGUUGUAGGGGUCCAGGUUGUCUAGUCCAGCUGAUUUGUAGGGGUCCAGAUUGUCUAGUCCAGCUGAUUUGUAGGGGUCCAGGUUGUCUAGUCCAGCUGAUUUGUAGGGGUCCAGGUUGUCUAGUCCAGCUGAUUUGUAGGGGUCCAGAUUUCGCGGCUCUUUCAGAACAUCAGCUGUCUGGAUUUGGGAGAAGGAGAAAUGGGGGAGGCUUGGCAAGUUGCUGUGGGGGGCGCAGGGCUGUUGACCGGGGUAGGGGUAGGGGUAGCCAGGUGGAAAGCAUGGCUAGCCGUAGAAAAAUUCUUAUUGAAAUUCUCAAUUAUAGUGCAUUUAUCGGUGGUGACAGUGUUUCCUAUCCUCAGAGCAGUGGGCAGCUGGGAGGAGGUGCUCUUAUUCUCCAUGGACUUUACAGUGUCGGCCAGGAAUGGCAAAUAGUUUCUACCCCCAGACAAUCAGGCUGCUGAAUAGACACCACUAGUCAGCUGUUUGUACCAUCAGACCAUCAGGCUGCUGAAUAGACACCACUAGUCAGCUGUUUCUACCAUCAGACCAUCAGGCUGCUGAAUAGACACCACUAGUC